GUGAAUCAUCAAAUUUUUGAACGCAAAUUGCACUCUCUUCGGAGAGUAUGCCUGUUUUAGGUUCAGCCUAAAAAAAAAAUCGACAUAUUCACUGUUUCGCUUUGUCAUUCUUCGGAAAUCAGUUCAUCUUAAACCUUUUUGUUUUAAUCUUUUUAAAAUUUUCUUUUCGAUUCCAUGAUCGUUUCUAAUUUUUACUUCUUAUACGUUUAAAUUAUCUAUCUUUAAUAGACGUGUCCGUUGCAGAAGAUCUCUGC
rnacentral:misc_RNA from 1 species